rnacentral:rRNA from 1 species
GAUGAACGCUGGCGGCGUGCCUAAUACAUGCAAGUCGAGCGAACAGACCAGGAGCUUGCUCCUCUGUCGUUAGCGGCGGACGGGUGAGUAACACGUGGAUAACCUACCUAUAAGACUGGGAUAACUUCGGGAAACCGGAGCUAAUACCGGAUAAUAUAUUGAACCGCAUGGUUCAAUAUUGAAAGACGGUUUUGCUGGCACUUAUAGAUGGAUCCGCGCCGCAUUAGCUAGUUGGUAAGGUAACGGCUUACCAAGGCCACGAUGCGUAGCCGACCUGAGAGGGUGAUCGGCCACACUGGAACUGAGACACGGCCCAGACUCCUACGGGAGGCAGCAGUAGGGAAUCUUCCGCAAUGGGCGAAAGCCUGACGGAGCAACGCCGCGUGAGCGAUGAAGGCCUUCGGAUCGUAAAACUCUGUUGUUAGGGAAGAACAAAUGUCGAAGUAACUAGGCACGUCGUGACGGUACCUAAUCAGAAAGCCACGGCUAACUACGUG